rnacentral:rRNA from 1 species
UACAGAGGGGGCAAGCGUUGUUCGGAAUUACUGGGCGUAAAGGGCGCGUAGGCGGCCUGUUAAGUCGAACGUGAAAUCCCCGGGCUCAACCCGGGAACUGCGUCCGAAACUGGCAGGCUCGAAUUCGGGAGAGGGAUGUGGAAUUCCAGGUGUAGCGGUGAAAUGCGUAGAUAUCGAGAGGAACACCUGCGGCGAAGGCGAGUCUCUGGACGACUCCUGACACUGAGGCACGAAAGCUGGGGGAGCAAACAGG